GACGAACGCUGGCGGCGUGCUUAACACAUGCAAGUCGAACGAAGUGGCGAACGGGUGAGUAACGCGUAAUCAACCUGCCCUUCAGAGGGGGACAACAGUUGGAAACGACUGCUAAUACCGCAUACUGAAGGAGGGGAUUGCGUCUGAUUAGCUAGUUGGAGGGGUAACGGCCCACCAAGGCGAUGAUCAGUAGCCGGUCUGAGAGGAUGAACGGCCACAUUGGGACUGAGACACGGCCCAGACUCCUACGGGAGGCAGCAGUGGGGAAUUUUGGACAAUGGGGGAAACCCUGAUCCAGCCAUCCCGCGUGUAUGGAGAAGGCCUUCGGGUUGUAAAGUACUUUUGGCAGAGAAGCGGUAUCUGCAGGAUAAGCACCGGCUUACUACGUGCCAGCCACCGCGGUAAUUC
rnacentral:rRNA from 1 species